AAUUACCCACUCCCGGCACGGGGAGGUAGUGACGAAAAAUAACAAUACGGGACUCUUUUGAGACCCCGUAAUUGGAAUGAGUACACUCUAAAUCCUUUAACGAGGAUCUAUUGGAGGGCAAGUCUGGUGCCAGCAGCCGCGGUAAUUCCAGCUCCAAUAGCGUAUAUUAAAGUUGUUGCGGUUAAAAAGCUCGUAGUUGGAUCUCAGUUCCAGACGGGCGGUCCGCCUAACGGUGGUUACUGCCUGGCCUGAACAGCCAGCCGGUUUCCCUAGAUGAUCUUCACCGGUUGUCUUGGGUGACCGGCACGUUUACUUUGAAAAAAUUAGAGUGCUCAAAGCAGGCGUGUAGCCUGAAUAAUGGUGCAUGGAAUAAUGGAAUAGGACUUCGUUUCUAUUUUGUUGGUUUUCGGAACACGAGGUAAUGAUUAAGAGGGACAGACGGGGGCAUUCGUAUUGCGACGCUAGAGGUGAAAUUCUUGGACCGUCG
rnacentral:rRNA from 1 species